AUAACAUUUGGACCGUCGGUCUAUUGAGCAAUGUCACCCGCUCGGUGGAAAAUCUUCCCUUUGUCGU
rnacentral:pre_miRNA from 1 species